rnacentral:tRNA from 1 species
GCCACCCUAGCUCAAUGGCAGAGCAAUACUUUUGUAAAGUAGAGGUUCGGGGUUCAACUCCCCGGGGUGGCUCAA